rnacentral:tRNA from 1 species
GCCCCGAUAGUUCAGUGGAUAGAACGAGAGCCUCCUAAGCUUUAGACGUGGGUUCGAUUCCCGCUCGGGGCACCA